rnacentral:rRNA from 1 species
AACGAACGCUGGCGGCAUGCCUAACACAUGCAAGUCGAACGAGACCUUCGGGUCUAGUGGCGCACCGGGUGCGUAACGCGUGGGAAUCUGCCCUUGGGUUCGGAAUAACAGUUAGAAAUGACCGCUAAUACCGGAUAAUGUCUUCGGACCAAAGAUUUAUCGCCCAGGGAUGAGCCCGCGUAGGAUUAGCUAGUUGGUGAGGUAAAAGGCUCACCAAGGCGACGAUCCUUAGCUGGUCUGAGAGGAUGAUCAGCCACACUGGGACUGAGACACGGCCCAGACUCCUACGGGAGGCAGCAGUGGGGAAUAUUGGACAAUGGGCGAAAGGCCUGGAUCCAGCAAUGCCGCGUGAGUGAUGAAGG